UACGUAGGCAGCAAGCGUUGUUCGGAGUUACUGGGCGUAAAGGGUGUGUAGGCGGUUGUUUAAGUUCGGUGUGAAAUCUCCCGGCUCAACUGGGAGGGUGCGCCGAAUACUGAAUGACUUGGAGUGCGGGAGAGGAGAGUGGAAUUCCUGGUGUAGCGGUGAAAUGCGUAGAUAUCAGGAGGAACACCGGUGGUGUAGACGGCUCUCUGGACCGUAACUGACGCUGAGACACGAAAGCGUGGGUAGCAAACAGG
rnacentral:rRNA from 1 species